AAGUCGUAACAAGGUUUCCGUAGGUGAACCUGCGGAAGGAUCAUUAGUUAUUAUCCAUAUUAAUAUGGAAUUGAUUUAUUCUAUACUUUCAAAUCUUGUUGAUAAUUUUUUUAUUUCAAAUGAAAUAGAAAUGAGUAACCAAAUAUAACUUUUAACAAUGGAUCUCUUGGCUCUC
rnacentral:misc_RNA from 1 species